rnacentral:misc_RNA from 1 species
AUAUAACUCACGCCGAAACACGAAGAAGUAGCAGUUUUCGAAGAAAACUCGCGGAUUCUGAGUGUUUCCAGGAUUGCGCGAAUUGCGCAGCAAUGGAGCAAUCCGUAUGUCAUAU